CUAGGAUCUUCGGUGUUGGGGGAAAAUGCACAGUAUUAAUUUUUCCAGCUAAAGUUCUUUACACAGUUAGUUCUUGGUCCACCACUUCAACACAGUCCAAAGAUUCAUAAGCCAAAUCUCCAUUAAACCAACCUCAAACUGGCUAAGCCAGGUUCUCAGAAGCUUAACUAACUAGUGUGUCUUUGGAGAAAGGAGGAGGCAGAGUUGGUGGGUGAAAGGUAAUCACUGUGGCAGCCAGCUUUGAAGGUUCCUGCCCAUCCUAGUGAUUCCUGCCUCUGGUUUCCAUGCCCUUGUGUGGUCUCUUCCAACAGUGUGUCAUGAUUGAUCUAUGUGAUCAAUAGAAUACAACCUCUAUUCGAGAUGAGGCUAUGAAAGACACUGGCUUUUCUGUCUUGCUCUGUCUUAGGUCACUCGCUUUGGGGAAAGCCACCUGCCAUGCUGUGAGGACAUUCAAACUGCCUAUGGAGAGGUCCAUAUAGUGAAAAACUAAGGCCCCUGCCAAAACCCAUGUGAGCCAUCUUGGAAACAGAUCCUUCAGCCCGAGGCAAGCCGUUAGAUAAUGUAGUGCCAGCCAACAUCUUGACAGCAGCCUGCAAGAGACUCUGAGUUAGAAACACCCAGCAAAGCCAUUCCUGAAUUCCUGAUACUCAGAAUCAGCAUGAUAAUAGUAAAUGCUUAUUAUCAGAUACCAUCAGCAUAAUGUCAUCGAUGCAGUGGACCAGUGUGACAUGGGGAACAUAAAGAUGGUCACGAUUUUUGCAGACUCCAUAUGCAAAGUAUCAUAGGCCUUUCCAUCUAUCCGGAGUGACCUACCAGAGACAGGACAGUUUGACCAGCAAGCUUCUGAUCACUCUUCAACACCCAGCAAGAAGUCUUAUCCUCCACGCAGCCUUCUAAGACCUCUCUAAGCACAGUGGAGAUGAAGUCUUGCCAUGUUGCCCAGGCUGGUCUUGAACUCCUAGAAUCAAGCAAUCCUCCUUCUUCAGCCUCCUAAAGUGCUGGGAUUAUAGGCGUGAGCCACUGUGUCCAACGGUGAGUAACUUUCAAAGACAGUGACCUAUUCAUUCUUAAAUGUUUUCUUCUGAUAAAUAUCUUUAGUUCCCUCUGUAUAUUUCCUCCCAGGGGAACCAAAUAAUUUUACAGUUUUUGAUUUAAAGAUAAGUAUAAAUUUUAGAUAUGUUGAAAUGAAGCAGACUUACCCUCUCAAAAUACAAAAACCUGACCACUUUCAAAGAUCAAAAAGGCUUGUGUGCAAGUUGUCUAAAGAGGCAAGAUAUCCUACUCUUCUGAAGUCAACUAUGAAAGCCUGAGACAUUCUUCCACCAGUAACAGUUAAUUCCAAAAUGAGUUUGAAGGUAAAGCAAGAAAGUGGUUUCCUGGUCCUGUAAAGACCGUUUGUUGCCAGGCAGACCUUUCAAAGAGAGAUGCAGAGGGGCGCCCAUCUGCUCCACUGCCUAAGCCCAGGUGAACCUCUGGGUGGAAUAAGAGCCGAGGACUUUAGACCAAGCCCCUCCCCCUCAAAACCCAAAGCCUUCCCUUUGUCCCCACUCCUUGCCUAUCUGAUUACUGUAUGGAACUGAGCACUACUAGACUCGUGUGCUAGAUUUUUAAUCUCUGAUGACCUGAAUGUUACAUACCUCUCUCUCUUAAAGCAUCCUUGGAUUUUUAAAAUUUUUAUUUAAUUUUUGUGUGGUUUAUUUCCACACAAUUGAAUCUUUUUCUAUGGGAAAUCAGCAUUGACAAAAAAGAAAGGGUCUCUGUACUGUGGUCCCCAAAUAAAUACUAGGUAGGUAAUAUGUAACAGGUCACCAGACCAAAUGCAGUCACUAUAAGAAAAGGAGAAAUGAGUUUCAUGGGACAGUGAGAGAAAAAUAAAUUUGGGUGUUUAAAAAAUUUACUUGUUAUAUGCCAGGCUGUGGGCUAAGUACUUUAAAUGUAUUACAUUAUGUAAUCUUCAAAACAACCUUAUGUUCUAACUACCAUUAUUAAUAGGUUGUUUUUGUCACAAUGAGGUAACAGAAGUUAAGGGAGACUAUGUAACUCUUCAAAAGUUAUACAACUAAAAAGCAGCAGGACUCAGAUGAGAGCGGGCAGGGUCAGGAGGCCAGCCAGGUCUUCUUAGUUCGCUUUUCAGCAUGUCGUCUUGCUACUGGCUUGGGGGAACCCCUGGGUAAGAACCAGGUGGAUGCAGAGUCACGGCUGGGACAGAUGUCUCAGAAGUCAGAUGACCUUGGUUUAAGAACUGACCAGUUAGCCACUACGUGCCUUUGGGCAAGUUAGUCAACCUCUCAAAGUCUCAGUUUCCUCAAUAAGAACAAGGAAAUAAGAGCAACUAGAUCAUAACGUUGUUAUGAGGAUCAAAUAGGAUGCAUGUCAAGUGUUGAGCAUUUGCCUGAAAUUCAGUAUGUGUGGAAAAAACGUUAACCAUCAGAAAUCAGUGAUACUUACGAAAGGAGGAAAUAUGCAAAAGAAAAUCUAAGAGAAAUGUAGAAGAAGAAUGAAAGAAAAUAUCCCAUAAUUUCUGAAUAGUUUAAUUUCUUGAUUCCCAAUUAGGUAAUAAAAAAGGUUGACAAAAGUUCCAAUAUAGCUGGCAAAUUCUCAAGUCAGAAAGCAAAAGCUCAAGGGAUAAAACCCAAAGUAGGAACAACAGCAGUUCCUACCUUUCAAGCUCACCUGAAUGAACUAGGUCACUCAUGACAACUGGUUCUUUAAAAAUAAAAUGUCGGGGCCAGGCACAGUGGCUCACACCUGUAAUCCCAGUACUUUGGGAGGCCAAGGCGGGCAGAUCACUUGAGGUCAGGAGUUUGAGACCAGCCUGGCCAACAUAGUGAAACCCCGUCUCUACUAAAAAUACAAAAA